GACAAAGAUAAUAAUAUAGGGUUUUCAUAAUCAUAUAUUGACUGUUACUGGCAAUAUAUAGGGUUUAUUAAAUCUGACCCCUGGGGUCAUCCCCACCCCCCAGGAAUUUAAAAAUACCAUAUAUCUCAGAAACUGUUAUAAUUAUGACCCCCAAACCAUAUAUAUUCAUGUUUCUGAUGUCAAGGGGCAUCAAAUGUUAUGUAGGUCAUGGGCCCUGUGGGUGGUCCUGACCCCCUCAAACAGCAAGUCCCUUAAUAUCUUCAAAACAGUUGAGAUCCUCGCCCUUAAACCAUAUAUAUUCUUGUUCCUUGUGUCAAGGGGCAUCAAACGGUAUGUAGGUCAUGGGCCCCGGGGUUGGUCAUGACCCCCCUCGAACAGGAAGUACAGGAAUAUCUCGAAAAGGGUUGAGAUCCCCACCCCUUAACCAUAUAUAUUCUUGAUCCUUAAAGGGCAUCAAAAGAUAUGUAGGUAAUGGGCCUCAGGGUUAAAUUUAAUUUUUCAAAACCGUAAUGCACAUCUACAUUGAUCUAUGGAACAGUUCCUAUCAUAUCCCAAGAUAUGAUGUGUCUAUCCAUUAAAUCAUAAAAGGAGUUCUAGGAUCUAUGUUUUUUUGAAGUGAUAAACGUCAAUUUUCUGCUACUUUUUGACUCCCUGAAUGAAAUUUGAAUUUUUAAAACCUUACUGCACAUCUAUAGAACAGUCCCUAUCAUAUCCCAAGAUAUGAUGUGUCUAUCCAUUAAAUCAUAAGAGGAGUUCUGGGAUGUAUGGGUAUUUUUUGAGUGAUAAACGUCAAUUUUCUGCUACUAUUUGACUCCCUGGAUGAAAUUUAGAUUUUUAAAAUCUUAUUGCACAUCAAUAGGACAGCCCAAAUUAUAUCCCAAGAGAUGACAUAGCUACCCCAAAAGUUGUAAGAGGAGUUCUGGGAACCAUACUUUUUUUUGCAAAAAAACGUCAUUUUUUGUUGCCCACUGAUCCCCUUAAUAAAAAAAAAAAUUCUGGAACCUGAUCACACUUCAAUAUGACACCCCCAAUCAUAUUCUAAAAGAUCAUUUGGCUAAUGCAAAAAGAAAAUGACGUUUUUGAAACUAGUUUUUU
rnacentral:sRNA from 1 species